rnacentral:rRNA from 1 species
GCUUCCGGAAUAAGGGCUGGGCAAGACUGGUGCCAGCCGCCGCGGUAAUACCAGCAGCCCAAGUGGUGGUCGCGUUUAUUGGGCCUAAAGCGCUCGUAGCCGGGCUUGCAAGUCCCUUGUGAAAUCGGACGGCUCAACCGUUCGGCGUGCAAGGGAUACUGCGAGCCUUGGGAUCGGGAGAGGUCGGGGGUACUCCGGGGGUAGCGGUGAAAUGCUGUAAUCCCUGGAGGACCACCAGUGGCGAAGGCGCCCGACCAUAACGGAUCCGACGGUGAGGGGCGAAGGCUAGGGGAGCGAACGGGAUUAGAUACCCGAGUAGUCCAAGCCG